rnacentral:ribozyme from 1 species
AAGAAAAUGUUGGAAGAACAGUAUUUCGAUUUUAUUGAGAGAUCUACUAGCUCAAUUCGGGGAAGAACUGGUGAUUCCAGACCAGUGGAACGAUUUGUCCAGGAAAAAAUUCAAUCAUCA